ensembl:lncRNA
GUGGCCAAAUACUACAUCCAAUGGUUUAUAAAUUCACAAUAAAAUUAUUAUCAUGUAUCACAUGGAUAAAUAUGACUUUAUCUCCACGUACUUACACAUAACAUACCUAAGGGCAGCUGAUUUAAUAAAUAAAAAAGGAGUUCACCAGGUGAGUCCAUUUAGCAGGCAGGAAGCCCCGUCCCAGAUACCACACCUACACACUGAAGCCCUGUCCCAGAUACCACACCUACACACUGAAGCCCCGUCCCAGAUACCACACCUACACACUGAAGCCCCGUCCCAGGUAACACACCUACACACUGAAGCCCCGUCCCAGGUAACACACCUACACACUGAAGCCCCGUCCCAGAUACCACACCUACACACUGAAGCCCCGUCCCAGGUAACACACCUUCACACGUUGGCCCCCGUCCCAGAUACCCGUU